rnacentral:rRNA from 1 species
UACGUAGGGCGCAAGCGUUGUCCGGAAUUAUUGGGCGUAAAGAGCGUGUAGGCGGCUAGGUAGGUGGGUUGUGAAAACUGGAGGCUCAACCUUCAGACGUCGACCCAAACCCCUGGCUAGAGUCCGGAAGAGGAGAGUGGAAUUCCUGGUGUAGCGGUGAAAUGCGCAGAUAUCAGGAAGAACACCCGUGGCGAAGGCGGCUCUCUGGGACGGUACUGACGCUGAGACGCGAAAGCGUGGGGAGCGAACAGG